rnacentral:lncRNA from 1 species
AUACUGUUCUCGUGGUAGUGAAUAAGUCUCAGGAGAUCUGGUGGUUUUAUAAGGGGAAACCUCUUUCACUUGGAUCUCAUUCUGCCUUGCCUGCCACCAUGUAAGAUGUCCCUUGCUCUUCCACCAUGAUUGUGAGGCCUCUCCAGCCAUGUGAAACUGUGUGCCUAUGAGGUGAACUGCCAUGUCUACACAUCCCAGUAUGAGUGAGUGCAGGUGGUGUGCACGCGCCCUGCGAUGGGAGUGUGUCCUAUUCAGGGCUGGUUCCCGCCUUGCGCCCUAAGCUUUGGAGAUAGGCUUCGGCCACCCUCAACCCUGAACUGGAAUAAGCAGAAAACCACAUCUGGUCAGGAGCCCAGUGUGUCCCACUUGGACAAGAAUAGAAAUCUCUCUUCUGGAAUAUGACCUGAGAUAUCCUGAUGAAGCAGACCACACCUGCCCUCAGAGAUGACCUCAUGAGGAAGCUGAGCUGCAUAACAAACAUCUCUGCUGCUCAGCCACCUCCACUCUUUUUCAACAGACCUUGGAGAUAGCACAGCACCCACACCAAAAAAUCAGGAAGCUCUCUUAUCAGCAAUCUUUCUGUACCUAUGAAAUCAGACAUUCCAGCCAUGGCAGAACCUCCUGAGUGGGCCAGAGCCUCAGAGUCAGGAAAAGCUGGGGCCUAAUGAUGUUUCAAAUCAAAUCACUCUGUAGGGGAUUUUCCAUUUAACAUAUUGUGAUUGUGCAGUAACAUUAGUCUUUGCCAUUUAAUUUAUUAAAUUUUAAAAUCUUAUAAUAUCCUCAA